rnacentral:rRNA from 1 species
GACGAACGCUGGCGGCGUGCCUAAUACAUGCCAGUCGAGCGGACGAAUCGAAAACUUGCUUUUGGUUCGUUAGCGGCGGACGGGUGAGUAACACGUGGGCAACCUGCCCUGUAGACGGGGAUAACACCGAGAAAUCGGUGCUAAUACCGGAUAACACUAACUGUCGCAUGACGUUUCGUUCAAAGACGGCGCAAGCUGUCGCUACAGGAUGGGCCCGCGGCGCAUUAGCUAGUUGGUGAGGUAACGGGUCACCAAGGCGACGAUGCGUAGCCCACCCGAGAGGGUGAUCGGCCAGCCGAGAACAGAGCAACGGCCCAGACUCCUAGGGGAGGACGCAGUAGGGAAUCUUCCGCAAUGGACGAGAGUGUGACGGAGCAACACCGCGGGAGCGAAGAAGGCGUUAGGGUCGUAAAGCUCUGUUGUUAGGGAAGAACAAGUAACGCAGUAGCUGGCGUUACCGUGACGGUACCUAACGAGAAAGCCACGGCUAACUACGUG